rnacentral:piRNA from 1 species
UCAGAGACCAUUUUUCAUUUGGUAUCC